ensembl:lncRNA
CUCCAUACCUGUACUGUCUUCACAGCUGGUUUGGUUCUACAGACAACUGGUUUAUAAGAUGGAAUCAGUGCCAAGGAGAUAUGAUUUGAUAAUCCGAGGUGAUGGGAUGGUGCAGCUUUAUAUGCCCUGUGUAUAUUUGUAUAUACUUGGUCCGGAGAGUUUUUAUCUCUUGUUGGAAAGCAUACAUUUUUGUGGAGUUAUUAGAAGAUGACCUUUAAUGAACCCAAUGUUGAUAUUUUAUUUAAAUUUUUAUCUUAUAGAAAAAGGAAUCACUGGAACUGGAUUGGAAUUUAACUGAAUUGGAAAAACUAAUACCUAAGAUGGUAAGUGUUAUUACUGGUUUGAUACAGAACACAAUAAUAUGUGUGACCCUAGCUGGCAGUGGGGGAGUUAUUAGAUGAUG